rnacentral:rRNA from 1 species
UNUGACUUGAGUGCAGAAGGGGAGAGUGGAAUUCCAUGUGUAGCGGUGAAAUGCGUAGAUAUAUGGAGGAACACCAGUGGCGAAAGCGGCUCUCUGGUCUGUCACUGACGCUGAGGCUNGAAAGCGUGGGUAGCGAACAGGAUUAGAUACCCUGGUAGUCCACGCCGUAAACGAUGAGUGCUAGGUGUUAGGCCCUUUCCGGGGCUUAGUGCCGGAGCUAACGCAAUAAGCACUCCGCCCGGGGAGUACGACCGCAAGGUUGAAACUCAAAGGAAUUGACGGGGGCCCGCACAAGCGGUGGAGCAUGUGGUUUAAUUCGAAGCAACGCGAAGAACCUUACCAGGUCUUGACAUCCCGAUGCUAUUCUUAGAGAUAGGAAGUUACUUCGGUACAUCAGAGACAGGUGGUGCAUGGUUGUCGUCAGCUCGUGUUGUGAGAUGUUGGGUUAAGUCCCGCAACGAGCGCAACCCUUAUUGUUAGUUGCCAUCAUUAAGUUGGGCACUCUAGCGAGACUGCCGGUAAUAAACCGGAGGAAGGUGGGGAUGACGUCAAAUCAUCAUGCCCCUUAUGACCUGGGCUACACACGUGCUACAAUGGUCGGUACAACGAGUUGCGAGCCGGUGACGGCAAGCUAAUCUCUGAAAGCCGAUCUCAGUUCGGAUUGGAGGCUGCAACUCGCCUCCAUGAAGUCGGAAUCGCUAGUAAUCGCGGAUCAGCACGCCGCGGUGAAUACGUUCCCGGGCCUUGUACACACCGCCCGUCACACCACGAGAGUUUGUAACACCCGAAGUCGGUGAGGUAACCUUUUAGGGNCCA